AGAGUUUGAUCAUGGCUCAGGACGAACGCUGGCGGCGCGCCUAACACAUGCAAGUCGAACGGAGUUAAGAGGAGCUUGCUUUUCUUGACUUAGUGGCGAACGGGUGAGUAACGCGUGAGUAACCUGCCUCAGAGUGGGGGACAACAGUCGGAAACGACUGCUAAUACCGCAUAAGACCACGGGGUCGCAUGGCCCUGAGGUAAAAGGAUUUAUUCGCUUUGAGAUGGACUCGCGUCCAAUUAGCUAGUUGGUGAGGUAACGGCCCACCAAGGCGACGAUUGGUAGCCGGACUGAGAGGUUGAACGGCCACAUUGGGACUGAGACACGGCCCAGACUCCUACGGGAGGCAGCAGUGGGGGAUAUUGCACAAUGGGGGAAACCCUGAUGCAGCGACGCCGCGUGGAGGAAGAAGGUUUUCGGAUUGUAAACUCCUGUCGUAAGGGACGAUAAUGACGGUACCUUACAAGAAAGCCACGGCUAACUACGUGCCAGCAGCCGCGGUAAAACGUAGGUGGCAAGCGUUGUCCGGAAUUACUGGGUGUAAAGGGAGCGCAGGCGGACCGGCAAGUUGGAAGUGAAAACUAUGGGCUCAACCCAUAAACUGCUUUCAAAACUGCUGGCCUUGAGUAGUGCAGAGGUAGGCGGAAUUCCCGGUGUAGCGGUGGAAUGCGUAGAUAUCGGGAGGAACACCAGUGGCGAAGGCGGCCUACUGGGCACCAACUGACGCUGAGGCUCGAAAGUGUGGGUAGCAAACAGGAUUAGAUACCCUGGUAGUCCACACCGUAAACGAUGAUUAUUAGGUGUUGGAGGAUUGACCCCUUCAGUGCCGCAGUUAACACAAUAAGUAAUCCACCUGGGGA
rnacentral:rRNA from 1 species